rnacentral:rRNA from 1 species
UACGAAGGGGGCUAGCGUUGUUCGGAAUCACUGGGCGUAAAGGGCGCGUAGGCGGCCGAUCAAGUCGGGGGUGAAAGCCUGUGGCUCAACCACAGAAUGGCCUUCGAUACUGUUUGGCUUGAGACCGGAAGAGGUCAGUGGAACUGCGAGUGUAGAGGUGAAAUUCGUAGAUAUUCGCAAGAACACCGGUGGCGAAGGCGGCGACCUGGGUAGAUACUGACGCUGAGGCGCGAAAGCGUGGGGAGCAAACAGG